GCCUUCGUGGUGUAGUGGUCAGAACGCUCGACGCGUAAGAGAGAGGUCAGUGGUUCGAUUCCCGGCGAAGGCG
rfam:Stegodyphus mimosarum contig122934, whole genome shotgun sequence.